GAUGAACGCUAGCUACAGGCUUAACACAUGCAAGUCGAGGGGCAGCGGUAUCGAAAGCUUGCUUUCGGUAGCCGGCGACCGGCGCACGGGUGAGUAACGCGUAUCGAACCUGCCUCAUACUCGGGAAUAGCCUUGCGAAAGUAAGAUUAAUGCCCGGUGUUUUCAGAGUCCCGCUUGAGGCUUUGAACAAAGAUUUAUCGGUAUGAAUUGGCGAUGCGUCCCAUUAGCUUGUUGGCGGGGUAACGGCCCACCAAGGCAUCGAUGGGUAGGGGUUCUGAGAGGAAGGUCCCCCACAUUGGAACUGAGACACGGUCCAAACUCCUACGGGAGGCAGCAGUGAGGAAUAUUGGUCAAUGGGCGGAAGCCUGAACCAGCCAAGUAGCGUGCAGGAAGACGGCCCUCCGGGUUGUAAACUGCUUUUAGUUGGGAAUAAAACGGGGCUCGUGAGCCCCCUUGCAUGUACCAUCAGAAAAAGGACCGGCUAAUUCCGUG
rnacentral:rRNA from 1 species